GAUGAACGCUGGCGGCGUGCCUAAUACAUGCAAGUCGAGCGAACGGACGAGAAGCUUGCUUCUCUGAUGUUAGCGGCGGACGGGUGAGUAACACGUGGAUAACCUACCUAUAAGACUGGGAUAACUUCGGGAAACCGGAGCUAAUACCGGAUAAUAUUUUGAACCGCAUGGUUCAAAAGUGAAAGACGGUCUUGCUGUCACUUAUAGAUGGAUCCGCGCUGCAUUAGCUAGUUGGUAAGGUAACGGCUUACCAAGGCAACGAUGCAUAGCCGACCUGAGAGGGUGAUCGGCCACACGGGAACUGAGACACGGUCCAGACCCCUACGGGAGGCAGCAGUAGGGAAUCUUCCGCAAUGGGCGAAAGCCUGACGGAGCAACGCCGCGUGAGUGAUGAAGGUCUUCGGAUCGUAAAACUCUGUUAUUAGGGAAGAACAUAUGUGUAAGUAACUGUGCACAUCUUGACGGUACCUAAUCAGAAAGCCACGGCUAACUACGUG
rnacentral:rRNA from 1 species